UGUUGAUUUCUUUGUUCCUUAAUCUUCAGUCUUUUAAUCGAAGAAGAAGGCUUUUAUUCGAUCAGUCGCAGAACAACAUUGAUUUUCACAUUUUUUUUUUUUUGAAAUCCAUACGGUGAUUGAUAUCAGAUUUUUUUUUUUGUUAAUUCUUUUUGAGAUCUGAUUGAUGUGGAUCGAGAAGGAAACUAGAUCCUGAUUUGCUCGUCUGUGAGUACAAGCUUUAGUGGUUCAUAAACACUUUGACUUGGAUCAACAUAAACCGAUUUUUAAAGGGAUUCGGCAGUAACAACAUCAACAGAAUAUGGAGGUAUUGGGUAGCUGGUGAUGGCUGAUAUGUUCAAAUAAUAAUGAAAAUGAAUUUGGGUCUUCUGAUAUGUAUCAAACAAAGGAGCAUCAGUUGGUUGCAGUACAUACGGUGUUGGGAGGAAUUUAUGCUGUAGCCGAGAUGAUCAGAGAAUUAACAAGGGGGCUUGAUCUGUUUGAGAAAUUAUCGCAACCAACUCAGUUGGGAGACGAAAUUAAGGUGAUUUUACAACAAAAGUCGCUCCUUGGCUCUUAACUGUCGCUGCUAGCUCUAUCGACCAGGAAUUUAAUUCCAACAUCCACCUUGGGAAUUCACGUAUUUUGAAGGAAAACUCUAUAAACCCAUUAAAGAUGGAUAAAUUUCAUCCGGUAAUAUUUGCUGAAGAUGCAGCUGCUGAAGGUGUUACCGCAGGAAACGCAAGUUCAAAAAGAAGAAAGGAUAUAUUUUUUUUGCUGAAGCUGAAAGAAGAGCUCGUUGUUGUUGUUUGCCUAAUAGAAGAGACUUGAAGUUUGCAGUGGCCAGGCGGAGAUGGAAUUGGAGUUAGAUGGGGUUGUUAUUCAACUGAAUUGUUUCGAAUUGGUUGGCAAAUGGCAGAUAAUGGAAUCGUCUUUGAUGAAUGAAUUAAGUAUGGCAGUGGUGGAUUUGAUUUCUAAGGUCGGCUGGAUGUGUUGGAUUGGGGAUGGUCUGAACUUAUUUUGGUUAGAGGAGGAUUGUCUUGCUGGUGUUUACAUUUUUGCGAGACUCGUCAGUAAAUGGAAACUGGUGUUGUGGUUUUUUAGAAAAGGAAUUGGUGUUGUGGCCGACAAUAUACCUUUAAGAAAGAUUAAUGCAUAAUAUGUUAUGCAACUAAAAAGAUGUCUACAUAACUUGUUAUGCAGCUACAAAAUUGUCUGCAUAACGUGUUAUGCGCAUAAUGUAUUAUGCAGCUACUUUUUUCUUAGU